rnacentral:rRNA from 1 species
ACGCUCGACACCUACGGGAGGCAGCAGUGGGGAAUAUUGGGCAAUGGAGGCAACUCUGACCCAGCAACGCCGCGUGAAUGAUGAAGGUCUUCGGAUUGUAAAGUUCUGUGACGGGGGACAACACAAUGACGGUACCCCGAUAGCAAGCCACGGCUAACUACGUGCCUGCAGCCGCGGUAAUCUGAGCGGGCUGGCAAGGC